rnacentral:rRNA from 1 species
UGAGGAAUAUUGGUCAAUGGGCGCGAGCCUGAACCAGCCAAGUAGCGUGCAGGAUGACGGCCCUAUGGGUUGUAAACUGCUUUUGUAUGGGGAUAAAGUCAAUCACGUGUGAUUGUUUGCAGGUACCAUACGAAUAAGGACCGGCUAAUUCCGUGCCAGCAGCCGCGGUAAUACGGAAGGUCCGGGCGUUAUCCGGAUUUAUUGGGUUUAAAGGGAGCGUAGGCCGGAGAUUAAGUGUGUUGUGAAAUGUAGACGCUCAACGUCUGACUUGCAGCGCAUACUGGUUUCCUUGAGUACGCACAACGUUGGCGGAAUUCGUCGUGUAGCGGUGAAAUGCUUAGAUAUGACGAAGAACUCCGAUUGCGAAGGCAGCUGACGGGAGCGCAACUGACGCUGAAGCUCGAAGGUGCGGGUAUCGAACAGGAUUAGAUACCCUGGUAGUCCGCACAGUAAACGAUGGAUGCCCGCUGUUGGUACCUAGUAUCAGCGGCUAAGCAAAAGCAUUAAGCAUCCCACCUGGGGAGUACGCCGGCAACGGUG